UCUCGCGCAGCCCCACCGUGAAAUGCAGCCGGAAACACUCGGGGCACAGCGGGCACGAGCAGCCGGGCAGCCACUGCAUCUGCAGCAGUAUAAACCAGUACAAACCAGUUCAAACCAGUAUGGAUUUAUUCCAAUUUUUUUCCCAUUUUUUUGCAAUUUUUUCCCAUUUUUUUCCCAUUUUUUUCCCAUUUUUUUCCCAUUUUUUCCCAUUUUUUUAUGAUUUUUUCCCCAUUUUUGGUGCUCCCAGUUUCAUUUCCUGGCACAAUUUGGAGAGGAAAUCCCAGUAUAAACCAGUUCAAACCAGUAUAAACCAGUAUGGAUUUAUUCCCAUUUCUUUCCCAUUUUUUCCCAUUUUUUCCCCAUUUUUUUCCCAUUUUUUCCCCAUUUUUUUCCCAUUUUUUCCCAUUUUUUUGUGAUUUUUCCCCAUUUUUAGUGCUCCAGUUUCGUUUCCUGGCACAAUUUGGAGAGGAAAUCCCAGUACAAACCAGUUCAAACCAGUAUAAACCAGUCUGGGAUUUUUGUGAUUUUUCCCCAUUUUUAGUGCUCCAGUUUCGUUUCCUGGCACAAUUUGGAGAGGAAAUCCCAGUACAAACCAGUUCAAACCAGUAUAAACCAGUCUGGGAUUUUUCCCCAUUUUUUUCCCAUUUUUUUCCCAUUUUUUCCCAUUUUUUUUUUAUUUUUUUUGCAUUUUUUUCCAUUUUUUUCCCAUUUUUCUCCAUUUUGGAAGGUCCCAGUUUGGUCUCCUGGCAGAAUUCAGAGAGGAAAUCCCAGUAUAAACCAGUUCAAACCAGUAUAAACCAGUCUGGGAUUUUUCCCCAUUUUUUUCCCCAUUUUUUUCCCAUUUUUUUGCAUUUUUUCCCAUUUUUUCCCCAUUUUUUCCCAUUUUUUUGCAAUUUUUUCCCAUUUUUUUCCCAUUUUUUUCCCAUUUUUUCGCAUUUUUUUGUGAUUUUUUCCCCAUUUUUAGUGCUCCAGUUUCGUUUCCUGGCACAAAUUGGGGAGGAAAUCCCAGUACAAACCAGUACAAACCAGUACAAACCAGUAUGGAUUUAUUCCAAUUUUUUUCCCAUUUUUUUUGAUUUUUUUCCCAUUUUUUCCCUAUUUUUUUUGAAUUUUUUGCAUUUUUUUCCCAUUUUUUUUGCAUUUUUCCCCUUUUUUUCCCAUUUUUCUCCAUUUUUAGUGGUCCCAGUUUGGUCUCCUGGCAGAAUUCAGAGAGGAAAUCCCAGUAUAAACCAGUAUAAACCAGUUCAAACCAGUAUGGAUUUAUUCCAAUUUUUUUCCCAUUUUUUUGCAAUUUUUUCCCAUUUUUUUCCCAUUUUUUUCCCAUUUUUUUCCCAUUUUUUCCCAUUUUUUUAUGAUUUUUUCCCCAUUUUUGGUGCUCCCAGUUUCAUUUCCUGGCACAAUUUGGAGAGGAAAUCCCAGUAUAAACCAGUUCAAACCAGUAUAAACCAGUAUGGAUUUAUUCCCAUUUCUUUCCCAUUUUUUCCCAUUUUUUCCCCAUUUUUUUCCCAUUUUUUCCCCAUUUUUUUCCCAUUUUUUCCCAUUUUUUUGUGAUUUUUCCCCAUUUUUAGUGCUCCAGUUUCGUUUCCUGGCACAAUUUGGAGAGGAAAUCCCAGUACAAACC
rnacentral:lncRNA from 1 species